rnacentral:rRNA from 1 species
GCAGUCGCCGCGGUAAUACGGAGGGUGCAAGCGUUAUCCGGAUUUAUUGGGUUUAAAGGGUCCGUAGGCGGACUUAUAAGUCAGUGGUGAAAGCCUGUCGCUUAACGAUAGAACUGCCAUUGAUACUGUAAGUCUUGAGUAUAUUUGAGGUAGCUGGAAUAAGUAGUGUAGCGGUGAAAUGCAUAGAUAUUACUUAGAACACCAAUUGCGAAGGCAGGUUACCAAGAUAUAACUGACGCUGAGGGACGAAAGCGUGGGUAGCGAACAGGAUUAGAUACCCCAGUAGUCCCUGUCUCUUAUAC